UACAGAGGGUGCGAGCGUUAAUCGGAAUUACUGGGCGUAAAGCGUGCGUAGACGGCUAUCUAAGUCGGGUGUGAAAGCCCCGGGCUCAACCUGGGAAUUGCAUUUGAGACUGCAUAGCUAGGGUGCGGAAGAGGGAAGCGGAAUUUCCGGUGUAGCGGUGAAAUGCGUAGAUAUCGGAAGGAACACCAGUGGCGAAAGCGGCUUCCUGGUCCAGUACCGACGUUCAGGCACGAAAGCGUGGGGAGCAAACAGG
rnacentral:rRNA from 1 species